rnacentral:lncRNA from 1 species
AUCUCUCUCUCUCUCUCUCUCUCUCUCUCUCUAUAUAUAUAUAUAUAUAUAUAUAUAUAGAGUGAGAGAGAUGAACUGGUUGCUUUCAAUCGAAUUUGGUGCCAGAUCCAGUCGGGUCUUCCACCACUCGAUCCGCAUAGAUCUCAUUGCCAUCAACCAUUCUUUAAAUGGUAACUUUUCCAUUUGGCUUGAGAAAAAACAAAAAAAAUAAAAACAUUCAAUAUAUA